CCCCUGGAGGACUAGUGGUUAGGCCAUGGCGCUCUCUUUGCUGUGGCCAGGGUUUGAUUCCUGGCCAGGGAA